rnacentral:lncRNA from 1 species
GAGAGUUCCAAGGUAGCCUGGGCUACACAGCUAUAUCUUAUCUCAAAAAAGGUGCCAGAGAUGAUGGUACGCCUGCAGGAAGAAGGGAAGCCAAGAUGGUCAGCUACGGGGAAGCUCAUCCACGGAGGGAAAGCUCAAUCGCUGACCAUCUCGGCAAUCGUCAGUUUCCGCAGGAUGUUUGAAAGCUCCCACCCCUUGCUGCCGCCUCUGCUCUCCACCAUGCUUCAGCCACCUGUCGCCCCGCCCAUCGCCUCUGACGUGUUUUGAAUCCCGGAUUUGAUAGAUGUCUGUCUGCUGCUUUUGUCUGUCUGUCAUUUGCUGCUUACUCUUUCGCUUGCUAUAUAAUGAAUAAACUCACA